AUUGAACGCUGGCGGCACGCUUAACACAUGCAAGUCGAACGGCAGCAUCAUUUGUACUUGUACAGAUGGAUGGCGAGUGGCGAACGGGUGAGUAAUGCGCAGGAAUAUGCCUUAAAGAGGGGGAUAACUUGGGGAAACUCAAGCUAAUACCGCGUGAACUCUGAGGAGUAAAGCUGGGGACCCAGAAGGGCCUGGCGCUUUAAGAAUAGCCUGCGUCCGAUUAGCUAGUUGUGGGUAAAGGCCGUACCAAGGCGAUGAUC
rnacentral:rRNA from 1 species